rnacentral:rRNA from 1 species
AGCAGCCGCGGUAAUUCCAGCUCCAAUAGCGUAUAUUAAAGUUGUUGCAGUUAAAAAGCUCGUAGUUGAAUUUCGGGAUUGACACAUCGGUCGUGCCUUAAGGGGUAUGAACUGGUGUAGUCAAUUUCUCACCUUCUGGAGAACCGCGAUGCCCUUAAUUGGGUGUCGCGGGGAACCAGGACCUUUACUUUGAAAAAAUUAGAGUGUUUAAAGCAGGCAUUUUGCUUGAAUACAUUAGCAUGGAAUAAUAAAUAGGACGGCAUGAUUCUAUUUUGUUGGUUUCUAGGAUCACCGUAAUGAUUAAUAGGGAUAGUUGGGGGCAUUAGUAUUCAAUUGUCAGAGGUGAAAUUCUUGGAUUUAUUGAAGACUAACUACUGCGAAAGCAUUUGCCAAGGAUGUUUUCAUUAAUCAAGAACGAAAGUUAGGGGAUCGAAGACGAUCAGAUACCGUCGUAGUCUUAACCAUAAACUAUGCCGACUAGGAAUCAGACGAUGUUAAUUUUUAAUGACUCGUUUGGCAC